ACCAUUCUUAUUCAUAAUAUGAUAAAAAUCAAAGUCAAACGACAGCCUGAGUCAUUCUUUACAGGCACAAUGUCAUUGUAACAUGUCCCUGUAAAACAUUAACAUCAGUGUGUUGUCAAUAAAGGCAUGCCAACAAAUACUGGACGAACGAAUAAACAAGACCACAACAUGUCGACAUAAAAAAUUCAUUUUCAACUGUUAAAAUAUUUUACCAAGACAUCUUACUUACUGUUGCAUAUCUAAGUGAUUUUGAUGAGAUUCUAAGUAGACUUUUUUAAACUGAGUCAGAAUUAUGAGAGAGUAAGUAAAGUAAGUCAAAGGUUUAACUUAAUACCGCCAAAUUUAGAAUUGCAUGUUUGAAACCAUGCUCCUAAAAACAAAACUAUAGACUUUGACAUGGGAAAUGUCUGGGAAAAAAAACUGUGAAUAAUUACAAAUAAUUAAUCUAAAAAAUAUUAAAUUUGAGUCAUAAUUUUCCCUUACAAAAUUUGAUUUACACAGUCAAAAAUACUUUCUAGGUCAUAAAAUUGUUAAAAAUUCUAACUUUAUGGAAAAAAAUCUGAUUUAUCAUCUCAUUAUUUUGAGUUUCUUUUUUAACAUCCUUAGUUAUCCUCUUUUACUUUUCCUGGCGGAAAUGAGCGUCUAUACAAAUGUAUGAUGAUAAAUCGGAGUGUGUUACGACCCCCUGUUGGUCUAGGGGUGUUGGGGCCAUAAACAUAUAGGCACAACUGGUAGAUCUUAACAAGGUAACGUUUAUUGGUAACAGAAGAGAUGUAGACAGGUAACAAAAAAACAAAAGGAGGGUGGACGAGGGUGCUGCGAAAAUAACAAACCAAGUUAAAAUAAAAAGGUCCUCAAAAGGAGGCCUGUACCUAUCUAUCGUUUUAAACAGGGUUGAUUCUUACUACAAAAGAACACAAAGAGCACAGCACCCACUCCACCUGGUGAAAACUAACACAAUAGUAAACAGAACAAUAAGUGAAUUUCUCCACUGCACCCAAAUGUGGAGCUAACAUACAAAGGUAUGCAAAUGUUUACCUAAACACAACGUACAGCUAAUAGGCAAGGAAGGUGGAUAGUUCCACUACACACAAAGUACAACAGACAGGCUAUGCAGUCAAUACCAGCGGCACACAAGUCAACAGGCGGUGACAAGCUGCCUGGAGCAACAGGUGGACUCUCCUUAUGAGCUGGAGGUAAUUAACGUGGUGACGAGCCAUUGGUUGAGUGGAAAACAGAGGGAACCAAUGGGCGGUACAGAUGUCAGCACCCCAGAAACCAGAAAGUAGGCGGGUCUUCAUUCCCCAGGGACACAGCCUACUUGGUAGAGGUGAGACAGGGAAAAGGGGAAACACAAGGGUGACAGCGACAGCCGUGACAGAGUGCAGUAUAUUAUAUUGCAGAUAAUCAUGGCAGCAGCUGCGCUCUCUAUAGUCACAACUUGCUGAAUGUAAAGCUGUUACUGUUGAGACGCUGGCAUGGGGUAAACUAUCAACACUAAUUCUCUUUUUGCCUGUGGAACCACAGGGUGUUGAUUAGGAAGCUGCUUAUCGAGAUGAGCCCCAACCCUGAGUCUCGGUCCACGGGAUCCAUGCCGCUCUGGCCACCAAACCUUAGACAACCCCCUUCACCCUCCCCUCUAUCCCUCCAUCAUAAAUACUCCUUAUUAUCCAAAUAAACUACCUUUUUAUACCUCA